AGUAAGAUGGUUGAGAAUAGACGUUAGACUGUAAAUCUACCUACGAGGUAAAGACCCUCUCUUGCUA
rnacentral:tRNA from 1 species